GGCCGGCAGCAGGCCCUGAGGCAGCACACCCGUGCCCACCUUCACAUGGUGGCUGCCAGAAGCCGAAGCCGUGCAGUUCCCAGGUGCACUUAGCAGAAUAAGGGAGCUGUGGUAACGUUAGGUGAUACAAGGUCACGGGAGCCAAUGGUGUCAUGGGGUUGGACACAGACCACAGUGUCAUCCAGCGGUGCCAGACUGGCUGCACUUCCACAAAGCUGGCCGCCCUUGGGAAUAAUCAACUCCCCCAUGCCAGCCCGCAGAAGGCCCUGUCGGUCACCCCAGUGCCUGUUCUAAUGAAACGAUCCUGGAACUUCAAAGAUCAAAAGGGGGAGCUCUCAGAGCACCAUUAAUUUGCUUGUGGCAUGAGCAGGUGCUGGGAUCUAGCGCCUGUUUGCAAUGGAUGUGGGUGUCGGAGAAGGUGAGGGGGGCCCUGUGUUCCCAUCGCUACCCUUUAAAAAUCUGCUUUCUCUUGUCUCUCGGGGGAAAGGGGUGUGUGCUCUCAAAACACCUCUAUUCCUGUACCCCGUCAGCCCAGGUUGUAUUUAAGUCCACAGUAAGGAAGUAA